UAUAGCUCAGUUGGUAGAGUGUUUGCCUCGUGAGCACAAGGUCCUGGGUUCAAUCCCCAGCAAAAAAG